rnacentral:rRNA from 1 species
AGGACGAACGCUGGCGGCGUGCCUAACACAUGCAAGUCGAACGAGGUCCAACUAGUGGCAACACUUGUGAAGACCUAGUGGCGAACGGGUGAGUAACACGUGAGAAACCUACCCCGAAGACCGGGAUAACUCUCUGAAAAGAGUGCUAAUACCGGAUACCCCCAUCUGAUCGCAUGGUCGGAUGAGGAAAUGGAUUCCGCUUCGGGAGGGUCUCGCGGCCUAUCAGCUAGUUGGUGAGGUAACGGCUCACCAAGGCAUCGACGGGUAGCUGGUCUGAGAGGACGAUCAGCCACACUGGGACUGAGACACGGCCCAGACUCCUACGGGAGGCAGCAGUGGGGAAUAUUGCACAAUGGGCGAAAGCCUGAUGCAGCGACGCCGCGUGAGGGAUGACGGCCUUCGGGUUGUAAACCUCUUUCAGCAGGAGAAGCGAAGUGACGGUACUGCAGAAGAAGCACCGGCUAACUACGUGCCAGCAGCCG